rfam:Felis catus isolate Cinnamon breed Abyssinian chromosome B3, whole genome shotgun sequence.
GCCUGGGUGGCUCAGUCGGUUGAGCACCCGACUUCGGCUCAGGUCAUGAUCUCACGGUUCGUGGGUCCGAGCCCCGCAUCGGGCU